UUGGUGAAACUGCAGCGUGUUCAGUCAGACAUCUCCCAUCUGCAUCCCCUGAGACACUGACCUCCACCUCCUCUCGGUCCCAAGGCAUUAGAAAUACUAAUCAGUAGCUUUCUGACAGCCCACACAUCUCCAGGUAACCCCCAUCUCUCUAUUUUGUUGCAAGUAAUCAAGAAAAAGAAAUCUCAAGUAAUUCUUCAAGCAAAAACGGAACUGGAGAGUACUCGCCUUAUGCACAGGAGUUAGAUUUCUUCACAAGUUUCAUGAGCAUUGAAUUCAACAUUCAUCGCAGGGUUUAGUACUUGAAACAAGAACUCGCUGUAGGAAAAAGUAUCUACGGAGUUUUGAACAACUACUUUGAUGAAACUCUUGCUUUUAAUGAGUACAAUGUUGCAGGUUCUUGAAGCGUCUGCUGAAGUUCUCCCCCUCUGCACAAAACCUCUCCUCACCAAGGAUGGGAAGAGUCAUUUUAAAUUUCAACACGG